GGCCACAUCACGUUGAAACACCGGUUCCUGUAUGAUCACCAAAGUUAAGCAACAUCGAUUCUGUUCAGUACCUAGACGGGUGACCACUUGGGAAUACCAGGUGUUGUAAG